rnacentral:lncRNA from 1 species
GUUAGUAUUGAGACUUAAAUGUAAAUAACAAUCAUUUAAAAAGUAGCGACAGUUACGCUUAAUUAUCCCGACCUUAUCAUCUAAGUGUACAUUGUCAUUGGAACAAAUUUGUUGACACGAAGGCGUCUGCAUACCCGCGAUUGAUCGCGAGUCAUUUUGCACACCGAAACUCCGUGUCUUACAUGUAACAUGUAAUGCACAUUCGCUCCUCACGUGAAUGGAAUCAAGCUCUCUCUAUUUAACCGUGAGGUCAACGCCGAUUAUCUCAAGGAACUCAUCUUCUUUCUAGCGUAUAAAAAAAUCGAAAAAUUUGCAUUUAUUGUUC